AAUAUUGGACAAUGGUGGGAACCCUGAUCCAGCCAUGCCGCGUGUGUGCAGAAUGUCUUCGGAUUGUAAAGCACUUUACGUUGGGAGGAUGAUUUUUAGGCUAAUCCCCUGCAAUUUUGUCGUUACCAACAGAAUAAGCACCUGCUAUCUCUGUGCCAGCAGCCUCGGUAAUACGAAGGGUGUAAGCGUUAAUCGGAAUUACUGGGCGUAAAGCGCGCGUAGGUAGUUUGUUAAGUAGGAAGUGAAAGCCCCGGACUCAACCUGGGAGCUGCUUUCAAAACUGGCAAGCUAGAGUAUGGCAGAGGGUGGUGGAAUUUCCUGUGUAGCGGUGAAAUGCGUAGAUAUAGGAAGGAAAAUCAGUGGCGAAGGCGACCACCUGGGCUAAUACUGACACUGAGGUGCGAAAGCGUGGGGGAGCAAACAGG
rnacentral:rRNA from 1 species